rnacentral:rRNA from 1 species
CCUACGGGUGGCAGCAGUAGGGAAUUUUCGUCAAUGGGCGCAAGCCUGAACGAGCAAUGCCGCGUGAACGAGGAAGGUCUUCGGAUCGUAAAGUUCUGUCAGCAGGGAAGAACGGUCACUGUGCUAAUCAGCAGUGAAUUGACGGUACCUGCAAAGGAAGCACCGGCUAACUCCGUGCCAGCAGCCGCGGUAAUACGGAGGGUGCGAGCGUUAAUCGGAAUUACUGGGCGUAAAGCGCUCGUAGGCGGUAUGUCAAGUCAAGGGUGAAAUCCCCGCGCUCAACGUGGGAACUGCCUUUGAAACUGGCAAACUGGAGUGUGUGAGAGGAUAGUGGAAUUCCAGGUGUAGGAGUGAAAUCCGUAGAUAUCUGGAGGAACAUCAGUGGCGAAGGCGACUAUCUGGCACAUAACUGACGCUGAGGAGCGAAAGCGUGGGUAGCAAACAGGAUUAGAUACCCUUGUAGUC